rnacentral:sRNA from 1 species
GGAGAAAUAUGGGAGAAACAGUGGAAUAUUUUUAUGACAUUUUUAGGAAAUCACCUGGCUUGGUUGGUAGUCCCACACUGACUUUCCUUAUGAAAAUUCUACAGAUGGAGGUGACACUAGCAGUGAUGAGGAUAAAGAAGAACAUGAAACUCCUCCUGUGGAAGUAGAACUCGUGACUCAGGUUGACCAAGAGGAUAUCACUCUUCAGAGUGGUAGAGAUGAACUAAAUGAGGAGCUCAUUCAGGAAGAAAGCUCUGAAGAUGAAGGAGAAUAUGAAGAGGUUAGAAAAGAUCAGGAUUCUGUUGGUGAAAUGAAGGAUGAAGGGGAAGAGACAUUAAAUUAUCCUGAUACUACCAUUGACUUGUCUCACCUUCAACCCCAAAGGUCCAUCCAGAAAUUGGCUUCAAAAGAGGAAUCUUCUAAUUCUAGUGACAGUAAAUCACAGAGCCGGAGACAUUUGUCAGCCAAGGAAAGAAGGGAAAUGAAAAAGAAAAAACUUCCAAGUGACUCAGGAGAUUUGGAAGUGUUAGAGGGAAAGGAUAAAGAAAAGGAAAGUACUAUACACAUUGAAACUCAUCAGAACACAAGCAAAAAUGUUGCGGCUGUGCAGCCAAUAAAACGAGGACAAAAGAGUAAAAUGAAAAAAAUGAAAGAAAAAUACAAAGACCAGGAUGAAGAAGACCGUGAACUUAUCAUGAAAUUGCUGGGGUCUGCAGGUUCAAACAAAGAAGAAAAAGGGAAGAAGGGGAAGAAAGGAAAAACAAAGGACGAACCUGUGAAGAAACAGCCCCAGAAACCCAGAGGUGGACAGAGGGUCUCUGACAACAUUAAGAAAGAAACUCCGUUCCUUGAGGUUAUAACUCAUGAGUUACAAGACUUUGCUGUAGAUGAUCCACAUGAUGACAAGGAAGAGCAAGAUCUGGAUCAACAGGGAAAUGAGGAAAACCUGUUUGAUUCUUUGACAGGCCAGCCACAUCCUGAAGAUGUACUACUGUUUGCCAUUCCAAUAUGCGCCCCUUACACCACCAUGACAAACUACAAAUACAAAGUGAAACUUACUCCUGGAGUGCAGAAAAAGGGAAAAGCUGCAAAAACAGCCUUGAAUAGUUUCAUGCAUUCCAAAGAAGCAACAGCAAGAGAAAAAGACUUAUUCCGCAGUGUAAAGGACACAGAUUUAUCAAGAAACAUUCCUGGCAAAGUGAAAGUGUCUGCACCCAAUCUUCUGAAUGUAAAAAGGAAAUAGCUGAAAUGAAAUUCUAAAAUAUUUGAGAAGAACCAAUUUUAUAGCCUUUUGGAAGUUCAAAGAUGAAAGCACCACGUAUCAGGACUUCCACAUUAUAAAAAUGAACUAAACAUUGCCUUGCUAUAUUCACCAAAAGGACUUAAUUCUUGUUUUUUUCCCAGUUUUAUAUAGAGGAAACACUGUCUAUGAUAGGAUUUCCUAAAGUAUUUGUGGACAGUUAAAUGCUAAUUAUAUACAUCUGUAGUUAUUCUACAUUUUCUUGAAAUUUGGGAGGUUAAUACCAAGUAUUCUUUUCAUGAUGUAAAGAAACUGAACAGUGAAGUGGCUUGACUGCUUAAACUAUUGGCUUGGUAAGUCUACUGUAUAUAACAUCUAAAUAUAUAUUACAGGCCAGCCACAAGGGGUUUAAAUAUUUAGGAUUGUGUCUUGAAAACUAAGUAUUGGAGUAGAUUUUCUUCUGCUUUCAUCGAUACUUGUCAAAAAAUAUAUUAGACCAAAAUGUAAAAUAUAAGUAAUAAUUCUCAUGA